AUUGAACGCUGGCGGCAUGCUUUACACAUGCAAGUCGAACGGUAACAGGCCGCAAGGUGCUGACGAGUGGCGAACGGGUGAGUAAUGCAUCGGAACGUGCCCAGUCGUGGGGGAUAACGCAGCGAAAGCUGAGCUAAUACCGCAUACGAUCUAUGGAUGAAAGCGGGGGACCGUAAGGCCUCGUGCGAUUGGAGCGGCCGAUGUCAGAUUAGGUAGUUGGUGAGGUAAAGGCUCACCAAGCCAACGAUCUGUAGCUGGUCUGAGAGGACGACCAGCCACACUGGGACUGAGACACGGCCCAGACUCCUACGGGAGGCAGCAGUGGGGAAUUUUGGACAAUGGGCGCAAGCCUGAUCCAGCAAUGCCGCGUGCAGGAAGAAGGCCUUCGGGUUGUAAACUGCUUUUGUACGGAACGAAACGGCUCUCACUAAUACUGGGGGCUAAUGACGGUACCGUAAGAAUAAGCACCGGCUAACUACGUGCCAGCCGCCGCGGUAAAAC
rnacentral:rRNA from 1 species